rnacentral:rRNA from 1 species
UACGUAGGGGGCUAGCGUUGUCCGGAUUUAUUGGGCGUAAAGAGCGUGUAGGCGGCCAGGUAGGUCUGCUGUGAAAACUCGAGGCUCAACCUCGAGACGUCGGCGGAAACCAUCUGGUCGAGACGGCGAAGAGGAGAGUGGAAUUCCUGGUGUAGCGGUGAAAUGCGCAGAUAUCAGGAAGAACACCCGUGGCGAAGGCGGCUCUCUGGGACGGUACUGACGCUGAGACGCGAAAGCGUGGGGAGCGAACAGG